AAGAGCCGUGUGCGGGAAUACUGCAUGCACGGUUCUGUGAGGGGCGGCGGGAGUAAUCCUGCCGUCUACUCGAC
rfam:Planctomycetes bacterium RBG_16_41_13 RBG_16_scaffold_42847, whole genome shotgun sequence.